rnacentral:rRNA from 1 species
GACAGAGGAUGCAAGCAUUAUCCGGAAUGAUUGGGCGUAAAGCGUCUGUAGGUUGCUUUUCAAGUCUGCCGUCAAAUCCCAGGGCUCAACCCUGGACAGGCAGUGGAAACUAACAAGCUGGAGUACGGUAGGGGCAGAGGGAAUUUCCGGUGGAGCGGUGAAAUGCAUUGAGAUCGGAAAGAACACCAACGACAAAAGCACUCUGCUGGGCCGACACUGACACUGAGAGACGAAAGCUAGGGGAGCGAAUGGG